UCCGGUGCGGCUGAUGACAGCACUCUGGCUGAGGCUCUGUGAUUAUUCAGUCUCAAAGUAAACGCUCUGACGCACUAUGC
ensembl:snoRNA SNORD105B small nucleolar RNA, C/D box 105B